CUUCCGUGGGCGCUGCAGAUUUGAGGAAGCCUGCUCCUAGUACGAGAGGACCGGAGUGGACACACCUCUGGUGUACCUGUUGUCACGCCAGUGGCAUCGCAGGGUAGCUAAGUGUGGAAGAGAUAACCGCUGAAAGCAUCUAAGCGGGAAACUCGUUUCAAGAUGAGAUCUGCCGGGGCCUUGAGCCCCCUGAAGGGUCGUUGUAGACCACGACGUUGAUAGGCUGGGUGUGGAAGCGCAGUAAUGCGUUAAGCUAACCAGUACUAAUUGCCCGAGCGGCUUGACCCUA
rnacentral:rRNA from 1 species